rnacentral:lncRNA from 1 species
AUCAUGAGAUUUAAAUAAAAUUUUUAAAGUAUAUGUUGUGGGGUUUUAAGAAACAUAAAUGAAACUUGUGUUUUGCAAAAGGAGAAAAUACUAAAGCAUAAUGGACUCAGGUAAUGAAAUUAACAAAUCAAAAAUGGGAUACAGUUUAGAGUUUACCCUUUUGAGAUGAAGAGGACUUCGAGGAUUUUGAGAUGCAGUUUUGCUCCAUGAGACAUUGCAUCGAUUUGUCUCUCCAUUUGAGGUUUAUCCUCCUCCGCACUUCUUGACUUGGAUAUGGUUUGACACCACAUCUUGACACCUUGUGGAUUUCCUGAACCCCAUCAGCUAUACACAUACACAAACGCUUUGGGAUUGUUUCAGAGCCUUCCACCAGCUUUCCUCUACACUUGAACUUCCACCUUAGCCACCUUGGGGUCUGUUAUCUUCAGGUCAGCCUCUUUGGUCCGCCAUCAUCAAGUCAGCCGGGUUAAGACUAGAUUGGGCUUGUCUUGUGGUCUCCAAAGCUUGAUGGUUACUGGUUCAAACUCCAAGCAUUAUGUUGGGCGUCUUUUUCAUGGCUUUCUUGAAGCCUUUAGUGUUUGAAUCUAGCCUCAUGACUGUUUCAAAACACUGCACACUCGCUAUGCUUUCAUGAGAGAGAAAGCGAUCCCAAAUGAAAACAAAACACCAUCUCACUGUUUGAAAUUUUAAACAUUUGAAUUAUUUAUGAUAGUGAGAGGUUGAGAGAAUAAAGAAUUAGGAGAUUGGUGAAGAAUAGAGAGAAUAGUGGAAGAAAACAGAAUUUAGAGAAUGGAGGAGAAUAGACAAAAUACGCGGAAGCAAAAUAGAAUGGAGAAUAGAGAAUUUGCUCAAGAGUUCAAAUGGACAGAUUUUUGCUCUGUUUUUCCUAAGUUUUGCGGAAGCAAAGAGAACCAAGAACAACCAAGAACAGCAAGAACUUUGGUGUAUUAAUGGCUUUAAAAAUAAUUACUCACAUUAUCACACAUGGAGAAGAAUUUUCUGUGAGCUUUAAACAACAAGAGCAAAGAAAUAACACAAGACUUAGUGUUUUCCAUGACUUUAAACAAGAGAAAAAAAUUGUCUUGAAUAAAAAUGGUGAAAAACGAGGAAAGUCACUGCUCUGAUACCAUGUUGGAAUUUAUGAAAAUGAGAAAAGGAACAAUCAACUUGCGACAGAACCAACACAAAGAACUUGAUAGAACCUCACCAAGGUGAAUGAAACUGAUUCUAUAAAGGAGAGAAAUAAAUCUAUAUGAGACUUAACCUGAGGAGUAAUACAACACAAUAGAGUUUUUAUACUCAAAAGAAGGAUCAGAAUCAGUAAAUUGAUUCAUUAUUAAGAGAGAAAUAACAAGAGAACUAGAAAUUGUUCUUUAGUAGAGAAUGAGAAAAGCAAAUGAAUCACUCUUGAAUUACUUAGGAAAGGAUGAAUUAAAGAGUGUAUUUGGCUGCUAUAAGCAGCCCUACACGUGUUCUUACUUAGUCUACAUUGUGACUUUAGGACAAGAACACAAGAGAAAAAUAAGAGAGAUAAUAUUGUGUAAAAUACUUGUGUAUAUUAAGAUGAUUCUUGUGACCAUAUUACAGACAUAUAUAUAUAUAGCGAAUUAAACAUGAGAAACCUAGUGUGAACAUUUUAAAAUAUCGUUCUGUAUUACAAGGAAAGACAGAGUCACAUGCUUCUUUAUUUAGUGUUCACACUAUUGAAAGUGACAGCUCACAAACGGUCACAUACGACUAAAGCCACAUGUGAGUCCAGACUCCAAUUCAAAUCGGUUUCCCUUCUCUUCUUGUCACUUAUGGGCUUUGUCUUGCAUACACUGGGCUUUAUUCCUUCUCAUUCUUGCCCUUCUUGGAUAUGGGCCUCGCCCUUCUUGCAGAUGAACCUCAGCCUUGAUCUUCUUGUAGAUGUGCCGAGACUAAGUGAUUGAGUCUCACUAGAAUGUAGAGCUGUACGGUCUCUUAUCAGCCUCUAACGGUCAGAUAUCAAUCCGCAGCUCACCACACAGUCUUGAUCUGUAUGGACGCUUAUCGGUCUUCAGCCUUUAAGCGUCCUACUUCCUGAUCUAUUGAGAACUCCACUUAUCUAACUCCUUCAAUCCUUACACAACACUUCAUUAACUCCUCCAUAGCCUCUCAAUGUAACUUUAAUCCAUCAUUGGUCUUUUUUGAACCGCACCAACUUGGAUCUUGAGUGAAAUUCUUCGGCUUUGUCUUCUUGACUUCGGCCUCACCUCUUCUUCUCUUCUUCCUCUCUAAUACUCCCCCACAAGCUUGGUCGUCGAGACGCUAAAGAGGACCACAGGCCAAGCUUGCAACACGCCAAACUACCUCAUUAAAAAUCUUACUAAAGAAAACCUCUUGCAAUAAAACUUUAUGAAGGGAAAAAGAGUAUAGGUUAACGAUUUCAUGAUGUAGCUAUGGCCUUGGUUUGAAAUUCAGAAUUGGCACCAUCUCCCAAUUGUUUCCAUUCCUUUUAGCCCUUCUUGACUUGAUUUUUCUUUGCAAGAACCUCUUGUUUCGUCCUAUUGCUUCUUUUGAGAAUUUUCACAUAUUCCCCCUUGAUAACACCGUAUUUUGACCACUUUUGUGGAUUGUUUUUAAAUGCUUUUCAAAUGCUUUUUAUUUCUUUUAAGUGUUUUAAGUAUGGUUUCUAGCACUUGCAGAUAUCUAGGGUUAUAAUUUUUAAAACAUGAAGCAGCGAAGUCAACCCUAGCAGCAUCACUCCUCUCCUUUAAACCUUCAUCAUGAGAUUUAAAGAAAACUUUUAUGUUGUGGGGUUUUAUGAAACAUAAAUUAAACUUUGAGUUUUGCAAAAUGAGAAAAUACUAAAGCAUAAUGGACUCAGGUAAUGAAAUAAACAAAUUAAAAAUGGGAUACAGUUUAGAGUUUACACUUUUGAGAUGAAGAGGACUUUGAGGAUUUUGAGAUGCAGUUUUGCUCCAUGAUACAUUACAUCGAUUUGUCUCUCCAUUUGAGGUUUAUCCUCCUCCGCACUUCUUGACUUGGAUAUGGUUUGACACCACAUCUUGACACCUUGUGGAUUUCCUGAACCCGAUCAGCUAUACACAUAUACAAACGCUUUGGGGUUGUUUCAGAGCCUCCCACCAGCUUUCCUCUACACUUGAACUUCCACCUUAGCCACCUUGGGGUCUGUUAUCUUCAGGUCAGCCUCUUUGGUCUGCCAUCUUCAAGUCAUCCGAGUUAAGACUAGAUUGGUCUUGUCUUGUGGCCUCCAAAGCUUGAUGGUUACUGGUUCAAACUCCAAGCAUUAUGUUGGGCGUCUUUUUCAUGGCUUUCUUGAAGCCUUUAGUGUUUGAAUCUAGCCUCAUGACUGUUUCAAAACACUGCACACUCGCUAUGCUUUCAUGAGAGAGAAAGCGAUCCCAAAUGAAAACAAAACACCAUCUCACUGUUUGAAAUUUUAAACAUUUGAAUUAUUUAUGAUAGUGAGAGGUUGAGAGAAUAAAGAAUUAGGAGAUUGGUGAAGAAUAGAGAGAAUAGUGGAAGAAAACAGAAUUUAGAGAAUGGAGGAGAAUAGACAAAAUACGCGGAAGCAAAAUAGAAUGGAGAAUAGAGAAUUUGAAGAGUUCAAAUGGACAGAUUUUUGCUCUAUUUUUCCUAAGUUUUGCUGAAGCAAAGAGAGCCAAGAACAACCAAGACCAGCAAGAACUUUGGUGUUUUAAUGGCUUUAAAAUAAAUUACUCACAUAAUCACACAUGGAGAAGAAUUUCUAUGAGCUUUAAACAACAAGAGACAAGAAAUAACACAAGACUCAGUGUUUUCCAUGACUUUAAACAAGAGAAAAAAACAGACUUGAAUAAAAAUGGUGAAAAACGAGGAAAGUCACCAAGAAAGACUGCACUGAUACCAUGUUGGAAUUUAUGAAAAUGAGAGAAGGAACAAUCAACUUGCGACUGAACCAAUACAAAGAACUUGAUAGAACCUCACCAAAGUGAAUGAAACUGAUUCUAUCAAGGAGAGAAAUAAAUAUAUAUGAGGCUGAACCUGAGGAGUAACACAACACAAUAAGAGUUUUUAUACUCAAAAGAAGGAUAAGAAUCAGUAAUUUGAUUCAUUAUUAAGAGAGAAAUAACAAGAGAACUAGAAAUUGUUCUUUAGUAGAGAAUGAGAAAAGCAAAUGAAUCACUCUCGAAGCCUAUCACUCCGUCGCGGUGGCAUUGGUGUCUGCUCCAUCGGCGGGAGCAGCCGCGUGACUCCCAAAGUUGCUGUGCACUUGCGCCUUGACGAUUUCAAAGGUCUCAGUAGCAUGACGGAUGUUUAUCAGAAGAACAACUGUAAAUCGAAGAGGCUAAUCGGAGAGGCUGGCCGAGAGAUUGACAAUGUCAAGGUGGAUCCGAUUUGUGUUUUUUUUUUAUGUAUACGAGAAAUUAGUAAUUGGUUCAACUUUGGUUUAUGAAAUUAAAAUUUACAAGAAAAAAAAUUGAACAUCGGUUUAGCAAAUU